rnacentral:rRNA from 1 species
AGUGAACGCUGGCGGUAGGCCUAACACAUGCAAGUCGAACGGCAGCACAGUAAGAUCUUGCUCUUACGGGUGGCGAGUGGCGGACGGGUGACGAAUACAUCGGAAUCUACUUUUUCGUGGGUGAUAACGUAGGGAAACUUACGCUAAUACCGCAUACGACCUACGGGUGAAAUCAGGGGAUCAUCGGACCUUUCGCGAUUCAAUUAGCCGAUGUCGGAUUAGCUAGUUGGCGGGGUAAGGGCCCACCAAGGCGACGAUCCGUAGCUGAUCUGAGAGGAUGAUCAGCCACACUGGAACUGAGACACGGUCCAGACUCCUACGGGAGGCAGCAGUGGGGAAUAUUGGACAAUGGGCGAAAGCCUGAUCCAGCAAUACCGCGUGGGUGAUGAAGGCCUUCGGGUUGUAAAGCCCUUUUGUUGGGAAAGAAAAGCAGUAGGUUAAUACCCCGAUGUUCUGACGGUACCCAAAGAAUAAGCCCCGGCUAACUUCGUG